UACGGAAGGGGCAAGCGUUGUUCGGAAUCAUUGGGCGUAAAGGGCGCGUAGGUGGUUCUGUAUGUCUACCGUGAAAGCAUACAGCUCAACUGUAUUUUGUCGGUAGAAACUGCAGGACUUGAGGCUGGGAGGGGCUGGUGGAAAUUCCCUGUGUAGCGGUGAAAUGCGUAGAGAUGGGGGAGAACACUCGUGGCGAAGGCGGCCAGCUAGACCAGUUCUGACACUGAGGCGCGACAGCGUGGGGGAGCAAACAGG
rnacentral:rRNA from 1 species